CAAGCGUCGGGACCACUUCCCACCCUGCGGACGAGCUCGGAGAGGCAUGGAGGAGGAGCAGGAGCAGGAAGAGGAGGCAGCAUGGACGAGUCCAGCAUCUUGAGGCGCCGAGGGCUGCAGAUUCUCCCAAUCCAAGUCCACAAUAGCCCCCUUGCUGCUAUUCAGAAGCCCCCGGACCACAGAAAGGAGCUGCUGGCCCCUAUUUAACCCUAAAGUCAACUGGUGUUGAAGAGAGAGAAGGAGCUGAGCCUGCCACGCCGAGGGAAGAUGUG